rnacentral:tRNA from 1 species
CAGAUAUUAGUUUAAAAAAAUUUUAAUUUUGGAGAUUAAAGAUAGAAGUGAUUCUAUAUCUGA